AUUGAACGCUGGCGGCAUGCCUUACACAUGCAAGUCGAACGGUAGAGUAGCAAUACUUGAGAGUGGCGAACGGGUGAGUAAUAUAUCGGAACGUGCCCAGUCGUGGGGGAUAACGUAGAGAAAUUUACGCUAAUACCGCAUACGAUCUAAGGAUGAAAGCGGGGAUUCGCAAGAACCUCGCGCGAUUGGAGCGGCUGAUAUCAGAUUAGGUAGUUGGUGAGGUAAAGGCUCACCAAGCCGACGAUCUGUAGCUGGUCUGAGAGGACGACCAGCCACACUGGGACUGAGACACGGCCCAGACUCCUACGGGAGGCAGCAGUGGGGAAUUUUGGACAAUGGGCGCAAGCCUGAUCCAGCAAUGCCGCGUGCAGGAUGAAGGCCUUCGGGUUGUAAACUGCUUUGUACGGAACGAAACGGUGAGCUCUAAUACAGUUUGCUAAUGACGGUACCGUAAGGAUAAGCACCGGCUAACUACGUG
rnacentral:rRNA from 1 species